rnacentral:tRNA from 1 species
UCCCUGGUGGUCCACUGGCUGAGACUCAGCACUCCCGAUGCAGGGGUCCAGGGUUCAAUCCCUGGUCGGGGAA